rnacentral:lncRNA from 1 species
UUCAAGCUAUAGUGAAUGAAACAUUUUUGACUUUUGUAAUAUAAUGUUAAUUACCAAAUAUCUCUAUUUAUACAAAAGUUGCAUGUAUUUUCAUAAAUUUACUACUAGUAGGGCUCUCAAGUGGUCAGGAUGUAAAUAAGAGAUUUUUAAAAAAAAGGAGAAAAUGAAUUUUGGUAAUCAGAGAAAAGAUUUCUCCUAGUAAUUCAUUCUAACAAUGUGGUAUUAAAAACUGCCCUGCCUGUCGUAUGAAUUUGCUGGUUUAACUUCAAACCUGAUAGUUCUUAUUUCAUACUGUGAUUUCUGUCUUUUCUGAUCCCCUUCAUACCUUCUUCCACUGGAGGUCCUGACUGUAGAUCAUUUUAUUUCUUUAAUACCAGCCCCAAAGUGCUCUUUGUAAUCAUUAUGUUUUGAAUUUGAUGUUUUAUUCUGGCAUUGCUGCAUCUAUCAGAUGCUGCCAAGCUGUGUAUUGAGAUUUCCUCUCCAUGUUGCUUUUCCAUGCCAUGGCUGAAUCAACUCUUCUUUUCACAGAGUUUGUCAUUCACUGGUUGGCUCAUAAUCAAUGCUGUCAAGUGAUAUGAAAAGUAUUGGGAAGAGGGAAUAAGAAGUGAGCUGCAUCCACAGAGGUGUGUGUGAUAAAAGGCUCCGCUUGCACACCAGGAUCCAGGAAUUCCCAAAAGAAAUUUUUUGUUCAGAAAAGCAGAGCGGGAGUACAGUGCACUCAGCUUCAUUGGAAACUGUCUCCACCUUCAACUAAAAAGGAAGAUGGGGAUAUAAUUCACCUGACACACUUGAAGCAGCUGUCAUUUGGCUAGCUGACAGAGAGACAAGACAAUAGGGUAAGUAGAACCUAUUGUUUUGUUACUAUAGACUGUUUGUUUAUUUUUCCUUGUCCUCUGGCUAAAUAA